UACGGAGGGUCCAAGCGUUAAUCGGAAUUACUGGGCGUAAAGCGCGCGUAGGCGGUUUAGCAAGUUGUAUGUGAAAGCCCUGGGCUCAACCUAGGAACUGCAUCCAAAACUACUAAGCUAGAGUACGAGAGAGGAGAGUAGAAUUUCUGGUGUAGCGGUGAAAUGCGUAGAUAUCAGAAGGAAUACCAAUGGCGAAGGCAGCUCUCUGGCUCGUCACUGACGCUGAGGUGCGAAAGCGUGGGUAGCAAACAGG
rnacentral:rRNA from 1 species